rnacentral:rRNA from 1 species
AUACGUAGGGUGCGAGCGUUGUCCGGAAUUACUGGGCGUAAAGAGCUCGUAGGUGGUUUGUCGCGUCGUCUGUGAAAUUCCGGGGCUUAACUCCGGGCGUGCAGGCGAUACGGGCAUAACUUGAGUACUGUAGGGGAGACUGGAAUUCCUGGUGUAGCGGUGAAAUGCGCAGAUAUCAGGAGGAACACCGGUGGCGAAGGCGGGUCUCUGGGCAGUAACUGACGCUGAGGAGCGAAAGCAUGGGUAGCGAACAGGAUUAGAUACCCUGGUAGUCCAUGCCGUAAACGGUGGGCGCUAGGUGUAGGGGUCUUCCACGACUUCUGUGCCGUAGCUAACCCACUAAGCGCCCCGCCUGGGGAGUACGGCCGCAAGGCUAAAACUCAAAGGAAUUGACGGGG